CUGUAUGUGACAGUGUGUGUCUGUGUAUGUAUGUGCACAUGUCUAUGUAUGUAUGAGAUUUAUUGUUUAAUAUCGCAUCACUAAGUCUAGAGCCGCUGCUGCACAAAGGAAUACCUGCCUCCCCAACAGGGGCACUAGGGACCCUGGCCUCCUUUCCUCCUACUAGUGUUCAUGACAGCAAGGAGGAGUAUGUGUGUUUGUGUGUGUGUGAGAGAGAGAGAGAGAUUCAGUUUCCAUAUGACAGUGUGAAUGUGUGUGUAUUGUAUGUGACGGUCUAGGUAUGCAUGGGCCAGUGUGUGUG